GGGGGUUCCGGCCCGGAGGCUGCGGCCGCCGGGUCUGAAAGUUAGCUACCUGGUUGAUUCUGCCAGUAGUCAUAUGCUUGUCUCAAAGAUAAGCCACC
rnacentral:rRNA from 1 species